AGAGACAGCAGUCGCCCGGUAAAACGAAGGGUGCAAGCGUUAAUCGGAAUUACUGGGCGUAAAGCGUGCGUAGGCGGUGAGUUAAGUCUGUUGUGAAAUCCCCGGGCUCAACCUGGGAAUGGCAAUGGAUACUGGCAAGCUAGAGUGUGUCAGAGGAUGGUGGAAUUCCCGGUGUAGCGGUGAAAUGCGUAGAGAUCGGGAGGAACAUCAGUGGCGAAGGCGGCCAUCUGGGACAACACUGACGCUGAGGCACGAAAGCGUGGGGAGCAAACAGGAUUAGAUACCCCCGUAGUCCCUGUCUCUUAUACC
rnacentral:rRNA from 1 species